rnacentral:lncRNA from 1 species
AACAGGACAAGAAGCUCAACAAAGGCCCAGAGCUGCCACUAUUACAAGGCAGCAAAUGGCAGUGAAAAGCAGGAUUUCCUUGACCCUUUUGCUCUGCUCUCACUCCCUGUGCUCCAUUUCAGGCAGCGGCCAAGCCGUGUCCUGACUCAGCUGCCCUGCACACUGCUGCACCUGCUCAUGAGCAUUCAUACCCAUGUGAUUAGCCAGGGCCGUGGCCUGGGGGAGGUGCAUGCUGCACUCACCAAUGGCCCAGGCUGCAGUACUGGCUGCUCAUGACAGAAGAAGGGACUGGCAAGUGGUGAAACUGGAAUGCACCACUUUUAGUUGUUGGGAAGACAAAUGUCUGUGAGCUGAUACAAGAGAAGCAAUCUGCUUGAAACAGUCUCAUCAGAAAAGUUGUACAGGCAGAUGGGGACAUUCAAGAAGUCAGCUGAGAGAGACACGUGUGAAGUUCAGGGACAUCACCAAACAGACCAACAUGAGAAGAAUACAGACUUUUGUACAUAUUUAAAGGAGAUCUUCAAAAGCCACCCGUAUGUGAUUCUGGGCAGACUGCUCUAGAUGACCCUGCCUGAGGACCAGACGACUUUCCAGCCAACUCAAGCAGUCUAUGAAAUGAGAGAAGAUAGUUGAAACUCUUUAAAGAACAGAAUCUGAAAUUAACGUAUGGUCACUAAAAUGUGAUUUUUCUUAAAUAUAAAACAGGUUACUUAAAACAUACUAAAUUAGCAGCUAGCACAAAAAGCUAAGAAAACAUUCCUGGCCUUCUGACUGAAGUAACAUUACUCUAGCUUAAUCUGCUUCCCAUUUUAUAAAAGGAUUGUUAAUAUGCUGUUUCAUUUAUUGGUGCAUUAUCAUUGCAUAUGUUGAUCAAAUGAGAGCGUCAGAUAAAAUAAUUACAAAAUAUUCAGCCUUUUUUCUGGACUGGGCAAGCAAUCUUAAUUGUAAAUAAAAUUUUGAUUGCAAAUAUGGAGAGAUUUCCA